AACAAAGAAGCAGUGUCCUAGAACUGAUGCAUUAUAACAUUAAUAAGUUGCAGAGAAGAGAAACCAGUGGAGGAGACUGAAAAGAAGCAAUCACUGAAAUAGGAGGAAAACCAAGAGACUGAGGUGAACUAGAAGCCAAAUGAAGAAAGUGUUUUAAGGAAGAGAGAGUGAUCACUGUUACUGAUUAUCAAAUAAUAUGAGGACUCAGAACUGAUCAUUGGGUUUAGCAGCAUUGAGGUCAUUGGUGACCUGACAAGAAGAGUUUUCAUGAAUUGUAACGAAAGCUUGAUUGGAAUGGGUUUAAGAGAGAGUGGGAAGACACUAAUGGCAGCUCCUUUGAAGAGUUUUACUGGAAAGGCAAGAAAAAUAUUUGAGUGUAUCUGGGGGAGUUUCUUUUAAAAGCUGGGAAAAUUGACAAGUUUGUUAAAUGAUGAGAAUGAUCAAGUAAAGAUGUAAAAAUGGAUGAUGUAGGAGAAAGGGAGACACUUGUUAGAGUGAUGUCCUCUAAAUGAAGGGAUUUGCUUUAUAUCAUGUGGUUUUAAUGCAUGUCCACCCACAAGCCUAAAAUAAAAGUAAAAAAAACAAGCAAACAAAAAAACCUUGCCCAUAAUACUUUGACACUAUUUCCUUCAAUAGGUGGAGUUUAAUUGUGUUUCCUCUGAAUACGGGCUGGUUUUAGUGAACCGCUUUUAACAAAUGGAAUGUGACAGAGUGAUGGUGUGUGACUUCUGCGACUUGGUCAUAAAAGGCAUUGUGGCUUCCCUCUUGCUCUCUCGGAUAACUUUGUUUGAGGGAAACCAGCUGCCAUGCUGUAAGGACCCUCAAGCAGCCCUGUGGAGAGGUUCCUCUGGUGAGGAACUGGGGCCUCCUACCAAUAGCCCUGUGAGUGCACCAUCUUGGAAGCAGAUCUUCCAGAACCAGUCAAGCCUCCAAUGGUUAAAGCCCAAGCUGACAUCUUCACAGAAACCUCAUGAAAGACUGUGAGCCAGAACCAUCAGUUAAGUUGCUCCUUCACUCCUGCCGCAUAAAAAUUGUGGGAUGAUAUAUGCUUAUUGUUUUAAGCCACUAAAUGUUGGGGUAAUUGGGAACCCAAGAUAGUUUAUUUACAGCAACAGAUAGGAAGAUAGAGUACAUGAGUACACUGUGGUGGAUGAGUAAAAGUGGAAUGAAGAAUUUGUGGAGAUUCCCCUCAAAUUGCUUCAGCUUUCUCAGUGACACAGGAAGCAAGAUCAAUAGCUGAGAGUUGAGGGUAAAGAUGGAAAAAGAAGUGUUGGAGGAGUGAGGAGAAAGGAAAAGUAAAAUAGUUGUAUUGGGUACAGAUGGGGGACAGAUAGAAUGGACAAGGCAAAUGUAGUAGGAUAGUAGGCCAUAUUAAGGACACAAAGGAAGUAUGUCUGCAGUCAUCAUAUAAAAUGAGACAGUGUGUUGUGUGCUUUGCUUCAGCAAUUUCAAUUGCAUUCAUGCAGAAGCAGAGUAGGUGGGGAGUUGGAUUAAACCGGGGAUGUACUUUUGCCAAGUGAGUACUAUAUGACACAAUAUAGGGCAAGGUGUAUGCAAAAGAGUGUUUAUACAAAUCAGUAUAAUUGCCUUCUUAAAAAUCAUUUUGGUGUUCUGCUUCCAGGAAGAUGGAGUAAACAUAUUUUACCCUUUUCCUCCUGUUAAGAACAACUAAGAUGCCUGGACAUUAUAUAUAAAACAAACACAAAAAGAAUCUGAAAGGUGAAGAGAAGAAAGCAGAUUGUCAAGGGACUUCAGAACCCUAGAAAUGAACUUGUGGGUGGAGAGCCAGGACUUUCAUGAUUAUCCAAUGGUAAUGAAGCCAUACCCACUGCAAUGUCAAUGGAGACUACUUGGGGAACCAGAUUCCCAUUGGUACCCAGCAGUAACAAGGAGCACCCUCCCUUGAGAGUGAACGGUUAAACUGUGGUUCAUCCUACCAUGGAAUAUUACUCAUCAAUAAAAAGGGAUGAACUACUGACAUAUACAACAAAGUGGACAAUGGACUCUCCAGUGAAUUAUGCUUAGUGAAAAAAGUAAAUCACAAAGGUUAUACUGUACAAUUCAAUUUAUAUAACAUUCUGGAAAUGACAAAAUGAUAAAAGUCUAUUACAGAUGUGUGGUUAACAGAAGUUAAAGAAGGAGGAAGGGAAGAAGGUGACUGGAAAGUGAAAGUGGCUAUCAAAGGACAAGAUGGGGGGUCCUUGUGGUGACGGAAAUGUUCUGUAUCUUGACUCUAUCAGUGAUAAUGUCCUCAUUGUGGUAUCACUAUGGAUUUACAACAUGCAGCCACGGGGGGAAAAGUGGGUAAAGGAAACACCCAUUCUCUCUGUAUUAUUUCUGACAACUGCAUGUGA